GACGAACGCUGGCGGCGUGCUUAACACAUGCAAGUCGAACGGAAAGGCCCUGCUUUUGUGGGGUGCUCGAGUGGCGAACGGGUGAGUAACACGUGAGUAACCUGCCCUUGACUUUGGGAUAACUUCAGGAAACUGGGGCUAAUACCGGAUAGGAGCUCCUGCUGCAUGGUGGGGGUUGGAAAGUUUCGGCGGUUGGGGAUGGACUCGCGGCUUAUCAGCUUGUUGGUGGGGUAGUGGCUUACCAAGGCUUUGACGGGUAGCCGGCCUGAGAGGGUGACCGGCCACAUUGGGACUGAGAUGCGGCCCAGACUCCUACGGGAGGCAGCAGUGGGGAAAAUUGCAAAAUGGGCGGAAGCCUGAUGCAGCAACGCCGCGUGCGGGAUGACGGCCUUCGGGUUGUAAACCGCUUUCGCCUGUGACGAAGCGUGAGUGACGGUAAUGGGUAAAGAAGCACCGGCUAACUACGUG
rnacentral:rRNA from 1 species